GCAUCGGUGGUUCAGUGGUAGGCUCGCCUGCCACGCGGGCGGCCCGGGUUCGAUUCCCGGUUGAUGCA
rnacentral:tRNA from 1 species